UCACUCUCACUAACCCGUUAAAUUUACUGGUCUUUUACUCAUCUCUCUAUUUUUUGAGAUCUUAUACUGCCAUCUGCUGACAACAUAUACAAACAACAACCUAUCAUUACAGAUAACCAGCCAUCUUCGGAUCAUUCAUUCCAAUGCAUGAGAUGGGCCUUGACUUUACAUAAUUGGACGUUAGGCAGCCUGUGAAGAUGGACUCCAUGAGCCCCUGUAGACGUUUCCCCCCCUGCCAGGGCUGAUGGCGUACGCCCCGCCCCGAAGACGACGAGCAGCUCCUUGGUCUGCCUGACAUUCAGAGAGAUGCUGUCAUCUUGGCACCCCCCCGUCUCACCUUACCUCCCCCUGUAGCCCUGCUCAUCGUGUCUGGCCACACCGUCAUGGGGGUGCUGCUCACUGCUCCGGAGUGUGAGGUCCGGGAUAAAGGGGUUUGUCUGCUAUUGUGGAUGUUCUGGGGUAUGUGGAAGGAAAGGCUCCCAUAGCAGGGCUGCUGGCCCUGAGUCCUGUGACCAGGAGCUUGGUGAUCAGUCCGAAUGGGGUGACAGUGUUAAGCGUGGGGUGGCUCUGUGGGAUUGGACUGUGCCAGUCAUCAGAUGGUCACUAGAUCAAAUCCUGUGUUUGGCAGAAUGAUGUCACUGUUGGGCCGUUAAUCCCACUUGCUCCAGAGACUGAUUGACUUCCUGAAUUUUACAUCAUUUUUAUAAAACCAUCUUUUAAAUAAAUAAAUGCAUAGCCUAUAGGUAAUUGUCACGAUCGGUCGCGGAGGUAACAGCAGCGAGCAGCGAUCGUGCGGGUAAGGAGCAGGCAG